UACGGGGGGGGCAAGCGUUGUUCGGAAUUACUGGGCGUAAAGGGCUCGUAGGUGGCCAACUAAGUCAGACGUGAAAUCCCUCGGCUUAACCGGGGAACUGCGUCUGAUACUGGAUGGCUUGAGUUUGGGAGAGGGACGCGGAAUUCCAGGUGUAGCGGUGAAAUGCGUAGAUAUCUGGAGGAAAACCGGUGGCGAAGGCGGCGUCCUGGACCAAUAAUGACACUGAGUGAGCGAAAGCCAGGGGAGCAAACGGG
rnacentral:rRNA from 1 species